ACUCAAAUGAAUUGACGGGGGCCCGCACAAGCGGCGGAGCAUGUGGAUUAAUUCGAUGCAACGCGAAGAACCUUACCUGGGUUUGACAUGCACCAGACGCAGUCAGAGAUGGCUGUUCCCUUGUGGUUGGUGUGCAGGUGGUGCAUGGCUGUCGUCAGCUCGUGUCGUGAGAUGUUGGGUUAAGUCCCGCAACGAGCGCAACCCUCGUUCCAUGUUGCCAGCGCGUGAUGGCGGGGACUCAUGGGAGACUGCCGGGGUCAACUCGGAGGAAGGUGGGGAUGACGUCAAGUCAUCAUGCCCCUUAUGUCCAGGGCUUCACACAUGCUACAAUGGCAGGUACAGAGGGCUGCGAGACCGCAAGGUGGAGCGAAUCCCUUAAAGCUUGUCUCAGUUCGGAUUGGGGUCUGCAACUCGACCCCAUGAAGUCGGAGUCGCUAGUAAUCGCAGAUCAGCAACGCUGCGGUGAAUACGUUCCCGGGCCUUGUACACACCGCCCGU
rnacentral:rRNA from 1 species